rnacentral:tRNA from 1 species
GCCGGGAUGGUGGAAUUGGUAGACACAAGGGACUUAAAAUCCCUCGGGAGGUAAUCCCGUGCCGGUUCGAGUCCGGCUCCCGGUA